rnacentral:rRNA from 1 species
AGUGAACGCUGGCGGUAGGCCUAACACAUGCAAGUCGAACGGCAGCACAGUAAGAGCUUGCUCUUACGGGUGGCGAGUGGCGGACGGGUGAGGAAUACAUCGGCAUCUACUUUUUCGUGGGGGAUCACGUAGGGAAACUUACGCUAAUACCGCAUACGACCUACGGGUGAAAGCAGGGGAUCUUCGGACCUUGCGCGAUUGAAUGAGCCGAUGUCGCAUUAGCUAGUUGGCGGGGUAAAGGCCAACCAAGGCGACGAUCCGUAGCUGGUCUGAGAGGAUGAUCACCCACCCUGGAACUGGGACACGGUCCAGACUCCUACGGGAGGCAGCAGUGGGGAAUAUUGGACAAGGGGCGCAAGCCUGAUCCAGCCAGACCGCGUGGGUGAAGAAGGCCUUCGGGUUGUAAAGCCCUUUUGUUGGGAAAGAAAAGCAGCAGGUUAAUACCCCGCUGUUCUGACGGUACCCAAAGAAUAAGCACCGGCUAACUUCGUG